CCCUUAGAUGUUCGGGGCCGCACGCGCGCUACACUGAAGGAAUCAGCACGUCUUUCUCCUUGUCCGAAAGGACUGGGUAACCCGCUGAACCUCCUUCGUGCUAGGGAUUGGGGCUUGUAAUUCUUCCCCAUGAACGAGGAAUUCCCAGUAAGCGCGGGUCAUAAGCUCGCGUUGAUUACGUCCCUGCCCUUUGUACACACCGCCCGUCGCUACUACCGAUUGGAUGGUUUAGUGAGAUCCUCGGAUUGGUCCCGGAGCGGCCUCUGGUCGUGCCGGAGUGCCGAAAAGAAUGUCGAACUUGAUCAUCUAGAGGAAGUAAAAGUCGUAACA
rnacentral:rRNA from 1 species